CAAAAUCAAGUUUGAGGGUGUGCAUCCAACGAGCGAAGAGCGAAAUAAUUGACCAUUGAGGGUUGGGAUGAGUCCAAUUUAAAAAAGUAUGUGAUUGAAUUGAUUAUGCACACACACACAUUUGUCGAGCAUUGGACAAGUUAGACUAUAUUUUGGUAGCAAACCUUAGAAGAAUUUUGAUAAGCAAUUUCAAAUCCUAAGGCAAAUGGGACAAGCUAUUUCAUUGGAACUAUUUUUGAAAUUUUAUUGCUAGAGACUAGCAAUAUCUUGGUUGGGGAGUGUGAUUAGUG
rnacentral:lncRNA from 1 species